rnacentral:rRNA from 1 species
GACGAACGCUGGCGGCGUGCUUAACACAUGCAAGUCGAACGAUGAAGCCUAGCUUGCUAGGUGGAUUAGUGGCGAACGGGUGAGUAAUACGUGAGUAACCUACCUUUAACUCUGGGAUAAGCCCGGGAAACUGGGUCUAAUACCGGAUACGACCAAUCUCCGCAUGGGGUGUUGGUGGAAAGCGUUAUGUUGUGGUUAUAGAUGGGCUCACGGCCUAUCAGCUUGUUGGAGAGGUAACGGCUAACCAAGGCGACGACUGUUAGCCGGCCUGAGAGGGUGACCGGCCACACUGGGACUGAGACACGGCCCAGACUCCUACGGGAGGCAGCAGUGGGGAAUAUUGCACAAUGGGCGCAAGCCUGAUGCAGCGACGCCGCGUGUGGGAUGACGGCCUUCGGGUUGUAAACCUCUGUUAGCAGGGAAGAAGAGAGAUUGACGGUACCUGCAGAGAAAGCGCCGGCUAACUACGUG